GAUGAACGCUGGCGGCGUGCCUAAUACAUGCAAGUCGAGCGAACGGACGAGAAGCUUGCUUCGCUGCUGUUACCGGCGGACGGGUGAGUAACACGUGGAUAACCUACCUAUAAGACUGGGAUAACUUCGGGAACCCGGAGAUCAUACCGGUUGAUAUUUUGAACCGCAUGGUUCAAAAGUGAAAGACGGUCUUGCUGUCACUUAUAGAUGGAUCCGAGCUGCAUUAGCUAGUUGGUAAGGUAACGGCUUACCAAGGCAACGAUGCAUAGCCGACCUGAGAGGGUGAUCAGUCACACUGGAACUGAGACACGGUCCAGACUCCUACGGGAGGCAGCAGUAGGGAAUCUUCCGCAAUGGGCGAAAGCCUGACGGAGCAACGCCGCGUGAGUGAUGAAGGUCUUCGGAUCGUAAAACUCUGUUAGUAGGGAAGAACAUAUGUGUAAGUAACUGUGCACAUCUUGACGGUACCUAAUCAGAAAGCCACGGCUAACUACGUG
rnacentral:rRNA from 1 species